UUCGGUUGAUCCUGCCGGAGGCCACUGCUAUGGGGGUCCGACUAAGCCAUGCGAGUCAUGGGGCGCGCUCUGCGCGCACCGGCGGACGGCUCAGUAACACGUCGGUAACCUACCCUCGGGAGGGGGAUAACCCCGGGAAACUGGGGCUAAUCCCCCAUAGGCCUGAGGUACUGGAAGGUCCUCAGGCCGAAAGGGUCUCUGACCGCCCGAGGAUGGGCCGGCGGCCGAUUAGGUAGUUGGUGGGGUAACGGCCCACCAAGCCGAAGAUCGGUACGGGCCAUGAGAGUGGGAGCCCGGAGAUGGACACUGAGACACGGGUCCAGGCCCUACGGGGCGCAGCAGGCGCGAAACCUCCGCAAUGCGGGCAACCGCGACGGGGGGACCCCCAGUGCCGUGGCAUCGCCACGGCUUUUCCGGAGUGUAAAGAGCUCCGGGAAUAAGGGCUGGGCAAGGCCGGUGGCAGCCGCCGCGGUAAUACCGGCGGCCCGAGUGGUGGCCGCUAUUAUUGGGCCUAAAGCGUCCGUAGCCGGGCCCGUAAGUCCCUGGCGAAAUCCCACGGCUCAACCGUGGGGCUUGCUGGGGAUACUGCGGGCCUUGGGACCGGGAGAGGCGGAGGGUACUCCUGGGGUAGGGGUGAAAUCCUAUAAUCCCAGGAGGACCGCCAGUGGCGAAGGCGCUCCGCUGGAACGGGUCCGACGGUGAGGGACGAAGGCCAGGGGAGCGAACCGGAUUAGAUACCCGGGUAGUCCUGGCUGUAAAGGAUGCGGGCUAGGUGUCGGGCGAGCUUCGAGCUCGCCCGGUGCCGAAGGGAAGCCGUUAAGCCCGCCGCCUGGGGAGUACGGCCGCAAGGCUGAAACUUAAAGGAAUUGGCGGGGAGCACUACGACCCGAGCUCGAU
rnacentral:rRNA from 1 species